UNUGGACCAGAUCAUUCAUGAGGGCUUGC
rnacentral:piRNA from 1 species